ensembl:snoRNA SNORD33 Small nucleolar RNA Z195/SNORD33/SNORD32 family
GUGGCCAGUGAUGACUUUCCCACUUGUGUUCGAGCUUCUGGCCAUGAUAUGACUUGGACAUGCACUACCAUCUGAGGCCAC